AAGAGGAAACAGUUUUACUUCUUGUUUUGUGUUUUUGUGCGUGUGAUCCUGCUGUCACCGAGAUACAGAUGCUCCGGCUGAAAUCAACAGCGAUGAUUUCCCUACAGCCUGAGGGCUUCUCGGCUUUAAAAGUCUAGUUAGUGGUUUUGUUUUGUUUUUGUUUGUUUGUUUGUUUUUGUUUUGUUUUGCUUUGCUUUGUUUUGUUUUUUCCCCCGCUGUAUCAAGACUCUAACUCCUGACUGUUUGACGACUCAAUGCCAGGCGGGCGGCGCAGUGUCUAUGUCCUCAUUUCGGGAUACGCCGACUCGCACACCUUGGGUGGCUCCAAGCCGCGGCGCCGGCACUGCCAGCCGCUGUUUACCAGCCCUGCCGUCGGGGAGAGCUAAGAGCAGCGAGGUGCAGCCUGCGGAACAGCUGCUACAGCCCUUGCGGCCCGCAGUUCGGGUGGCACGAAAUGAGGCACCCCAAAUACAGGAGGCUGAUCUGCCAGCCUGUGGCCAAAGCAGAAUUCGGGAUGUCCUGGGAAGUAAGGGCGCUGGGCCGCAGUGGCAAAGCAUCCCUCCGCCCGGCCGGGCGCCCCUCGCCUUUUAAAAAUCUCUUUUUUUGACGCUGACAGACACUCGGGGCAACUGCUUUUCAGUAGCCGGCUUCUUUCCGAGCAGCCUCCGCGCCCGGAGUGCUCGGUCAGGCUCCAUUUUAUCACGCCCCCCGCCGGCGUGCAGGGGGCUACGGCAGGAACGUGCAGGCUGGUGGUGCUCGUCUGAAGGUGACAUCCAGCGCCAAGUCUGCGGUUAAUCGAGUCCGCUUGGUGAAGUUCAACAAUUUAAUCAGUGUCUGCACGAGCCCCGGUGUUAUUUAUCUGUGCUGCGUUAGGUUCCCUUGGGCUGUAAAGCGAUCUCCAGAGGUUAGAUGGGGGGAACCUAACACCACAGGAGCAGUCGCUGCCCUGAUCCUACAAGAAAGCCGCUUCAGUCGGUCUCACCGGAGAAGCAGCAGUCGAUACUGCGGUGAGGGCUGGGCAGGACCAAAGCCACAGCGUGGCUCUCCUAAGGCCACUGUCGCUAUUUACCAGCAAGUCACAACUUGGACGUGCCAUUAGUUAGCAAUCCUUGCCAGCGAUGCUUUUUUCUGCCUGGUUAGAAGGCUGGGGUUUUUCCUGUAGGCACACUCUUAAGACCAUCUUAGUGCUUGUGCAGAGCUUUUGUGGUGGGGGGUCUCAGCAGGGUGGAAGCUGAAGGCCACCCAAACAUGGCACAGAAUGCAGGUGUGUGAGUUGUGCCCUGAUUCUGGCAGGAGAUGCACUGUGUCGUCCCAGGUAUUUUUUUGGCUAAGAUGCUCCUGUCUUUGGACCUAGUGGUGUUAGAAAAUCUAGUUGGUACAACCAUUCUGAUCGGUAAAAGUACAGAAAAUGCUGUCCCCUUCCUGGCUCUCUCCUCCUGUAUUCUUAGUCAAGCCCAGGCUGCAUUCGUGGCUGCUCAGCUCACACUGAGGAAGCUUCCUUGUCUGCAGACCUCCCCUCGGGUGUCAGUUCUGAUGGUCCAGGCUGGGACGGACAAAUGUAGCUGAAGAAAUUAAUUUACUUUGUGACAGUGAAGCGCUGCGAUCAGGUUCGCCCCUUCCCAUCUCUGCCGGAGGAGGAAGAAGAGGAAGAGGAGAGCCCCGGAGCCGCCGUGGGCAGGGCGAGGGGCGCCGACAAAAGAGAGCCCCCGAGCGAGAGCCGCGGGCUCUGCCGGCGAGUUUGGACGCAUUUUAAGUCUGAGGAAUAAGUGACAGGGUCAUCAUUUCCCCGGCUCGGCUGCUUUCAGAUUCGGCUACGAGGGUGAAGUCUUGCUAACAGCUCGUGUAUCUGUAUAUUUAAUUGCGACCUGGCUGCAUGUUCCUGUUGAGGAAGGAUGCAGAUGACAAGUGAGUUAUAAAAAAACAAAAAAAAAAACAAAAAAAAAACAGAGUCAGUUGACAAAAACAGGAAAGGAAUGACAGAUGAAAAGGCAGUCGAUGAGGAGCUAACUGGCAAACGCAUCAGUAAAGUCAUAUACCUUCUGAGAGGAGUAGCAGUUUGUUUUAUUCCGGUUCUCCAGAGUUUUAUCUCCUGUCGGUGUGAAGGGGGAGAGAGGAGCUAAUGUGCCCUGUUUAGGAUACAAACAUGCAGAUUAGAUCAGACUUCAGACACCCCGUUUCACUCAAAAUUUAAAACAGUUAGAGGCAUAAAGCAGAAUUCCGCCACCGAGGAAAACAGAAGUACACUUUUUUAUCUUUAUUAUUAUUACUGUUAUUAUUUGUAAUGUUUUAAAGUCGUUUCCAAGCUGUUCGAACGCAUUCAGCGAGCGAGGUCCCGGGGGUGUUGCGGGUGCGCGGCCGCCGCUGCCCGAGCCGGGAGAGCAGCAGCCCGACCCCGUCUUCUCCACUUUUGUGUUACUUUAAGUUUUCAGUGAGGCUGGUGUAAUUACUGGGCGUUUAACUUUUUGCCAGGCUCUUUCAUUAUAGCUUUGCAUUUGCACCUCGCUUUUAAGAGAAGUAAUAACAUUCACAGUCGGGGGCAAAUCCUGUUAAUGAACAAAUUAAAGUUCAAACAGUUAUUCAAGUUCACAGCCCCGCUCGCUGCUCAUUUAAUAAGAGUUAUGCAUGUUACUUUCUCUCAAGAUCACUCCCCCUUUUAUUACUUUUUAAGCUUUUCAUAAGCACUGACGGGAUGUAGGGGCAGCUCCCAGCCUCUGAAGAGCCCACAAAUCCUGAAGGGAGCCCUAAUCCGGCCUUAAUUUGACAACUUUUGUAAAACGCAUAAAAGCUCGGGUGCCACCCUUG